CACCAAAUUUUAGUAAGAUUAAACCAAUUUUUAUUUAAAUUGAACAAUUUUUUAGUUUUUUUUCCCGAAAACCGAUCCGAAUCCGACACACAUCCGAACCGAAACCGAAUCGAUGACUCAUAAAAUCCGAACGGAUAAUAAAUUCUUCUAUCCAAAUUAUCCGAAUCCGAAUAUAUCCGAACCGAAACCGAACCGAAAAGUCAUAAAAUCCGAACGGAUAAUAAACUCUCAUACCCGAAUGAUCCGAAUCCGAAUAUA
rnacentral:lncRNA from 1 species